GUUAAAAAGCUCGUAGUUGGAUUUCUGCCGAGGACGACCGGUCCGCACUUUGUGCGUGUAUCUAGUUCGGUCUUGGCAUCCUCUUGGGGAACGCUUCUGUGCUUCGUUGCAUGGGGUGGGAUUCAAGACUUUUACUUUGAGGAAAUUAGAGUGUUCACGGCAAGCUUUCGCUUUGAAUACAUUAGCAUGGAAUAAUAAUAUAGGGCGUAAGUUCUAUUUUGUUGGUUCCUAGGACAUACGCAAUGAUUAAUAGGGACAAUUGGGGGCAUUCGUAUUAACGCGUCAGAGGUGGAAUUCUUAGAUUGCGUUACGACGAACUACUGCGAAAGCAUUUGCCAAGGAUGUUUUCAUUGAUCAAGAACGAAAGUAUGGGGAUCGAAGACGAUUAGAUACCGUCGUAGUCUAUACCAUAAACUAUGCCAAUUAGAGAUUGGAGGUCGUUUCUUUUAUGACUCCUUCAGCACCUUAUGAGAAAUCAAAAUUUUUGGGUUCCGGGGGGAGUAUGGUCGCAAGGCUGAGACUUAAAGGAAUUGACGGAAGGGCACCACCAGGAGUGGAGCCUGCGGCUUAAUUUGACUCAACACGGGAAAACUUACCAGGUCCAGACAUAGUAAGGAUUGACAGAUUGACAGCUCUUUCUUGAUUCUA
rnacentral:rRNA from 1 species